rnacentral:rRNA from 1 species
GACGAACGCUGGCGGCGUGCUUAACACAUGCAAGUCGAACGAUGAAGCCGGAGCUUGCUCUGGUGAAUUAGUGGCGAACGGGUGAGUAACACGUGAGUAACCUGCCCUUGACUCUGGGAUAACUGCGGGAAACUGUAGCUAAUACCGGAUACGACCCUCGGAGGCAUCUCCUGGGGGUGGAAAGAAUUUCGGUCAAGGAUGGACUCGCGGCCUAUCAGCUAGUUGGUUAGGUAAAGGCUCACCAAGGCGACGACGGGUAGCCGGGCUGCGAGGCUGACCGGCCACACUGGGGCGGAGACACGGCACAGACACCUACGGGAGGCAGCAGUGGGGAAUAUUGCGCAAUGGGCGAAAGCCUGACGCAGCAACGCCGCGUGCGGGAUGACGGCCUUCGGGUUGCAAACCGCUUUCAGCAGGGAAGAAGCCGCAAGGUGACGGUACCUGCAGAAGAAGCACCGGCUAACUACGUGCCAGCCGCCGCGGUAA